rnacentral:rRNA from 1 species
AACGUAGGAGGCAAGCGUUAUCCGGAGUUACUGGGCGUAAAGCGCGUGUAGGCGGCUCGGUAAGUGGGUCGUGAAAGCGCCCGGCUAAACUGGGCGAGGACGAUCGAGACUGCCAGGCUAGAGGGUGGUAGAGGGACAGGGAAUUCCGGGUGUAGCGGUGAAAUGUGUAGAGAUCCGGAGGAACACCAGUGGCGAAGGCGGGUCUCUGGGCCGAUACUGACGCUGAGGAGCGAAAGCGUGGGGAGCGAACAGG